GCGUCGCUAGUGCAACGGUCCAACACGCGGUCCCGGAAAGAGUGACAUCUGGGUUCGAGUCCUGGUUGACGCA